rnacentral:lncRNA from 1 species
AUGGAUUUGGUUACACGAUUGUGUUUGGAGUGGAUUACUAUCACACACUCACUGGUACACAGAGGACAGCUCAGGAUUCACUCUAAGGAUAGAACUGGAGAGAGGAGAUGCUGGCCUGGACUUCACAGCCUUGCUGGGCCUUGGUGGCCACAGCACCCGCUGAAUCUGGCACGCUGGCACAUUGUAGAUGUUCAAGAUGCUCCGACACGGGACACCCAACUCAUUGAUGAAUGGAAGCCACGGAAAUCCCUGCAGCAGGAAGUGAGUUGGAGGGCACCUGGGCCCGGGAACCCUGCAUCUCCUGAGUCGAUUCUUGAGUGAGACCCUGGACUGUGGUUCAACAUCUCGACGCCUCCAUCUCUUAGCUACUCACUGAACAGCAAUGGCACUGGCUCCCUGCAAGAAGCAAAUGUGGUAGCAAAGAACACUACCAUGAUGGUGAAUUGGUGUGCAUGCCCAUGCCCCACAUGCACGCACACAUAUGCAAACACACAGAGAUACGUACAUUCAUAAGCAACACUUAUGUACUAGCAUGUGCACGUGUGUGCACCCAUGAAUGUUCAGAGACACACAGAUGUACACACAUGCGUUCACGGAGACACAAGACACACCCAUGUGUGCAUGCACACACAGAGUCACAUACAAACACACACAUUAGAGAUGUACUGCAUACAUGUAUUGGUCAAAUACCAAGCAACCAAAUGUUGAAAUCAAUAACGCACUGAAAUUAUGAUUAAAGCAUCAUUUUGUUAAUAAAAAAAAUGAAACUCAAAUGUAAAUUUUAGAUUACUUAUUAUUAUAUUUUUGUCGAACUCUUAGGGAUAAAAUUUUGCAGUUUGUC